rnacentral:rRNA from 1 species
CUCCUACGGGAGGCAGCAGUGAGGAAUAUUGGUCAAUGGCCGGAAGGCUGAACCAGCCAAGUCGCGUGAGGGACGACUGCCCUAUGGGUUGUAAACCUCUUUUAUAAGGGAAGAAUAAAUGCUACGUGUAGCAUGAUGACGGUACCUGAGGAAUAAGCCACGGCUAACUACGUGCCAGCAGCCGCGGUAAUACGUAGGUGGCAAGCGUUAUCCGGAUUUAUUGGGUGUAAAGGGCGUGUAGGCGGGAGCGCAAGUCAGAUGUGAAAACUCAGGGCUCAACCCUGAGCCUGCAUUUGAAACUGUGU